rnacentral:tRNA from 1 species
AGGGGUAGAGCUCAGUGGUAGAGUGCAUGCUUAGCACUCACGGGGUCCUGGGUUCUAUCCCCAGUACCUCCA